rnacentral:rRNA from 1 species
GUAGGGAAUCUUCCGCAAUGGACGAAAGUCUGACGGAGCAACGCCGCGUGAGUGAUGAAGGUUUUCGGAUCGUAAAACUCUGUUGUUAGGGAAGAACAAGUAUGAGAGUAACUGCUCGUACCUUGACGGUACCUAACCAGAAAGCCACGGCUAACUACGUGCCAGCAGCCGCGGUAAUACGUAGGUGGCAAGCGUUGUCCGGAAUUAUUGGGCGUAAAGCGCGCGCAGGCGGUUCCUUAAGUCUGAUGUGAAAGCCCACGGCUCAACCGUGGAGGGUCAUUGGAAACUGGGGAACUUGAGUGCAGAAGAGGAAAGCGGAAUUCCACGUGUAGCGGUGAAAUGCGUAGAGAUGUGGAGGAACACCAGUGGCGAAGGCGGCUUUCUGGUCUGUAACUGACGCUGAGGCGCGAAAGCGUGGGGAGCAAACAGGAUUAGAAACCCCUGUAGUCC